CGCUGCUGCCUGCCUCGCCUCACAAUGCUGGGCGCGCGGACCUUACGGAAAAAAGCUGGAGGCUCCUGGAGGAGCGUUAAGAAAUGCAGUUCCGGGGCUCUUAAGGACGUGGAGGGGCUUUGCUGACUCCUAAACUGCAAGUAACCAGAUUUUCCCGGAGAGCAGUCUAGGACAAGUCUGAGAAAUAUUUCAGAGACCUGUCGUUUCAGAUUCUCUGAAGCACAGCAAGUCCCGAAAGGAAGAACAUCAGAAGCGACAUGGCUGACCAUAAUGAACUGGUCCUCCAUUCAUAGCGGUCAGCUCUUUUGUGCUUGUCAAGUACACACAUACUGAGGCUCUGGAGACUUUUUUUUGAUCGUUAGUGUGCUUCUGUUGGGACAAGAAAGAAAAGACCCACACAGGAUGUGAUGGAGAGUUGAAGGAGGAAUAUCUUUCUGUCGACGAAAAGGGUGGAACUUUGUGAAAUAGUUGAAGAGAUUUAUUCUGAGACAAAUAUGAGUGACUAAUGGCCCAUGACACGGCUCCAAGAUAUCCUAAGAACAUAUGCCCAGGGUGGCCCAUCUACAGCUUGGUUUUAACAAUUUAGGAAGACGUAAGACAUCAAUCAAUACAUGUAAAAUGUACAUUGGAUUCCUCUGGAAAGGCGCAACUGGAAGGGAGGGGCGGGGCUUCCAGGUCAGGACACAUAGCUCCUGAGGCAGGAUCUAGACACCAGCUAUUCCUAUGCAAUGCUGGAGAAUAUGGGACAUCCAUAUGUACAGAUACCCACCUCAUACAGCUGCAACAUGCUCUGACAACUGUCAAACCAACAACCCUCAAGCUGACUGUAGAACUACCAAUAAUCAAAUUCACGGCGCGAUUUUGGAUAGAAGUCCGUCACUUUCCCAGGAACUCCCGAAGCAAUGCAAAUUGGGCCUGAUGUGGAUUGAAAGCUAUUUUGUCUUCUUAUUUCUUCAAGAGCACAAAAAGUUGAAGGCCCCAAAAACCAUUCACUUUUUCAUUCUGGCAAAGCCUAAUUUUGUUCUCAACCCGCAGCACACAGUGAAGAGAACCCCAAGAGUAAAUGUAGCUUAAACAAUAUGACCUUUAUCAUCAGAAGAAAACAGCAAUGCUUAGGUGGAAAUUGACUGGGUUGGGAAGCUUGGAAGGUAGAAAAUUUAUCAUCAACAUUAUCAGUAUCAGACAACUAAUAAUACCUCUGAAAAAAGGAAAUCUCUACAAGCUGCCAGCUGAAGUUGGCGUGUGUUCUCUGUCCAAAGCUGGGUGAUGUCCACACCCAAACCAGUCAGGGGACUGGGAAUGAGGCCCCCAAAGGGAACAAAUGACUGAAUAUUCCAGAUAAAGGUAGAGAACACAGCAAUCUAUGCACCACCCCCCCACCCCCCAUUUUUUAAAAACAUUUAACCAGAAGUCCAGACCUUAUCACUCUCUAAGUAAUUUAAGGUGACUAAGGUGAUGCACAUUGUGGCACCAUGACAGCUAAUAGCAGGAGUCUUCUGUAAUGCACACUUUCAGCAACUUAACUCUGGAAAGGCCCCAGGCAGGGUCAGAAAGUGCAACAUCAUUCACAAAAAUUUACCAUAUAUCUGACAAUUACAACAAAUCUCCCUUGCGUGGAUGUUUGGAUGUGAGAUUCAAUUUCAGGCUGAGAUCUCCCUCAACAAGCUAACACAGGGUCAUCCAAGGGAAAGAAUACAGUCAUGGGUUCUUAGUUUGUUUCUAGCUGGGCCAGUAAAGCUCCUUUCUCAUCUCAUUCCUCUUGUCCACCUACCACUAGAGACAGAAACAAAACCAUGGCUUCAGGCUAAAAGCCUAAAACAAAACAGAGCAACAAAAAAAUAGGGUGAGUAAGACAAGCUCGAUAGAGCUUUGCUGUUUUUGACCUGUUGACAAAGGAAAAAAAGUAUAUUGCCUGCAUUCCUAAGGACUUUCUCCAGGAUGAACUUACUCUUGCUCAGUGAAGUUAGGCUGAAUACUUUCUAACAUUUGCUGCACUCAUAAUAUUCUGCUGGUUGUAUAGUAAUAACAUACAAAGGUGUUUUUCUGAUGUCAGGACAUGUCACAAUGAUAAUCAUAAAAUGUAGACCACUUUGCUACUUACAGCUUGAAACCUAAGGACAUAGGCAGGGCUGCAAGAGUUAUGAGGGAACCCAAGAUAACAGCAAGCUGGAGCUUAGGGGGCAGCUUGUGUGUGCCAUGUAAAUUGGGGUUAGCUAGGUUUUCAGGGACCCCUGUGCAUUGACCAAUGGAAUAAUUUUACAAGCUCCUGGGCACAGAAGCUGUCCCUAGAUAUCUGAUUCCUGAUCCUGGGGUGAUUGGGUCUUACAUAUUGUGGCCCAGAGUUUGAGAGCCUGAUAAGGAAAAUGGUUGGGAGUGUGGACUUAAUCUGCUGCUCCAAAAUUGUAACUGACAAGCCUCUACCAAGGGCCUUAAUGCUAGGCAAAAACAUUAUUCUUUUGAUGUUAAAAAAAAAAAACUGGAUAUCCACACGCAAAAGAAUUAAGUUGCUAAAAUGAACUCAAAUGCAUCAAAGACUUAUAAAACAGAUAUAUUAGACUCCAUUUAAAUUCAAAAUUCCUGUGUAAAAAAGGACAUAAUGGACAGAGUGAAAAGGAAAAAGACUCAAUGGGAGAAAGUAUUUGAAAACCACAUAUCUGAGAAGGAAUAUCUAGAAUAUGAGGGGUCUUCAAAAGUUUCAUGAAAAAUGAGAAAAAAAUGUAUAUUAUGAAAAAAUUGGCCAGGGGUGGUGGCUUAAGCCUGUAAUCACAGCACUUUGUGAGGCCCAGGCAGGUGGAUCACCUGAGGUCAGGAGUUCGAGAGCAGCCUGGCCAACAGAGUGAAAACCCAUCUCUACUAAAAAUACAAAAAUUAGCUGGGCGUGAUUGUGGGCACCUGUAAUCCCAGCUACUCAAGAGGCUGAGGCAGGAGAAUUGCUUGAACCCAGGAGGCGGAGGUUGCAAUGAGCCGAGAUCAUGCCACUGCACUCCAACCUAGCGUUAGUGAGACUCUGUCAAAAAAAAAAAAAAAAAUUAUGUAUGGAUUUCAAUUUUUUACACCAAAGUGAAUUUGUAAUAACUUGUUCUAACAAGUAUGAACAGGAUCUAGUUUGAGGCACUAAGAACGGCAUCAGUUUGAAAACACCUUCUAUCAGAGGAAUGUGAAUUCAGCUAAGGUUGAAGAAAGAACAAAUAUCAAAUAUAUAGUAAAGCUUGGCUCUAAAAAUGGUAAAACCGGCCGGGUGCGGUGGCUCGCGCCUGUAAUCCCAGCACUUUGGGAGGCCGAGUUUGGGCGGAUCACAAGGUCAGGAGUUCAAGA
rnacentral:lncRNA from 1 species